rnacentral:rRNA from 1 species
UACGAAGGGGGGCUAGCGUUGUUCGGAAUCACUGGGCGUAAAGCGCACGUAGGCGGAUCUUUAAGUCAGGGGUGAAAUCCCGAGGCUCAACCUCGGAACUGCCUUUGAUACUGGGGAUCUCGAGUCCGGGAGAGGUGAGUGGAACUGCGAGUGUAGAGGUGAAAUUCGUAGAUAUUCGCAAGAACACCAGUGGCGAAGGCGGCUCACUGGCCCGAUACUGACGCUGAGGUGCGAAAGCGUGGGGAGCAAACAGGG